rnacentral:rRNA from 1 species
AGUGAACGCUGGCGGUAGGCCUAACACAUGCAAGUCGAACGGCAGCACAGGAGAGCUUGCUCUCUGGGUGGCGAGUGGCGGACGGGUGAGGAAUACAUCGGAAUCUACUUUUUCGUGGGGGAUAACGUAGGGAAACUUACGCUAAUACCGCAUACGACCUACGGGUGAAAGCAGGGGACCUUCGGGCCUUGCGCGAUUGAAUGAGCCGAUGUCGGAUUAGCUAGUUGGCGGGGUAAAGGCCCACCAAGGCGACGAUCCGUAGCUGGUCUGAGAGGAUGAUCAGCCACACUGGAACUGAGACACGGUGCAGACUCCUACGGGAGGCAGCAGUGGGGAAUAUUGGACAAUGGGCGCAAGCCUGAUCCAGCCAUACCGCGUGGGUGAAGAAGGCCUUCGGGUUGUAAAGCCCUUUUGUUGGGAAAGAAAUCCAGCCGGCUAAUACCUGGUUGGGAUGACGGUACCCAAAGAAUAAGCACCGGCUAACUUCGUGCCAGCAGCCGCAGUAAGAC